GUUAAGCGACUAAGCGUACACGGUGGAUGCCCUGGCAGUCAGAGGCGAUGAAGGACGUGCUAAUCUGCGAUAAGCGUCGGUAAGGUGAUAUGAACCGUUAUAACCGGCGAUUUCCGAAUGGGGAAACCCAGUGUGUUUCGACACACUAUCAUUAACUGAAUCCAUAGGUUAAUGAGGCGAACCGGGGGAACUGAAACAUCUAAGUACCCCGAGGAAAAGAAAUCAACCGAGAUUCCCCCAGUAGCGGCGAGCGAACGGGGAGGAGCCCAGAGCCUGAAUCAGUGUGUGUGUUAGUGGAAGCGUCUGGAAAGGCGCGCGAUACAGGGUGACAGCCCCGUACACAAAAAUGCACAUACUGUGAGCUCGAUGAGUAGGGCGGGACACGUGGUAUCCUGUCUGAAUAUGGGGGGACCAUCCUCCAAGGCUAAAUACUCCUGACUGACCGAUAGUGAACCAGUACCGUGAGGGAAAGGCGAAAAGAACCCCGGCGAGGGGAGUGAAAAAGAACCUGAAACCGUGUACGUACAAGCAGUGGGAGCCUCUUUUAUGGGGUGACUGCGUACCUUUUGUAUAAUGGGUCAGCGACUUAUAUUCUGUAGCAAGGUUAACCGAAUAGGGGAGCCGAAGGGAAACCGAGUCUUAACUGGGCGUUAAGUUGCAGGGUAUAGACCCGAAACCCGGUGAUCUAGCCAUGGGCAGGUUGAAGGUUGGGUAACACUAACUGGAGGACCGAACCGACUAAUGUUGAAAAAUUAGCGGAUGACUUGUGGCUGGGGGUGAAAGGCCAAUCAAACCGGGAGAUAGCUGGUUCUCCCCGAAAGCUAUUUAGGUAGCGCCUCGUGAAUUCAUCUCCGGGGGUAGAGCACUGUUUCGGCAAGGGGGUCAUCCCGACUUACCAACCCGAUGCAAACUGCGAAUACCGGAGAAUGUUAUCACGGGAGACACACGGCGGGUGCUAACGUCCGUCGUGAAGAGGGAAACAACCCAGACCGCCAGCUAAGGUCCCAAAGUCAUGGUUAAGUGGGAAACGAUGUGGGAAGGCCCAGACAGCCAGGAUGUUGGCUUAGAAGCAGCCAUCAUUUAAAGAAAGCGUAAUAGCUCACUGGUCGAGUCGGCCUGCGCGGAAGAUGUAACGGGGCUAAACCAUGCACCGAAGCUGCGGCAGCGACGCUUAUGCGUUGUUGGGUAGGGGAGCGUUCUGUAAGCCUGCGAAGGUGUGCUGUGAGGCAUGCUGGAGGUAUCAGAAGUGCGAAUGCUGACAUAAGUAACGAUAAAGCGGGUGAAAAGCCCGCUCGCCGGAAGACCAAGGGUUCCUGUCCAACGUUAAUCGGGGCAGGGUGAGUCGACCCCUAAGGCGAGGCCGAAAGGCGUAGUCGAUGGGAAACAGGUUAAUAUUCCUGUACUUGGUGUUACUGCGAAGGGGGGACGGAGAAGGCUAUGUUGGCCGGGCGACGGUUGUCCCGGUUUAAGCGUGUAGGCUGGUUUUCCAGGCAAAUCCGGAAAAUCAAGGCUGAGGCGUGAUGACGAGGCACUACGGUGCUGAAGCAACAAAUGC
rnacentral:rRNA from 1 species